CAGAGUUGCAAGACUCCCUAAACCAUUGUGAACCUACCUUCUACCGUUGCUUCGGCGGGCGGGCCCAGCGCCCCCCCCGGCCCCCCGCGGGCGCCCGCCGGAGGAUAUCCAAACUCUUGACAUUAGUGGCCUCUCUGAGUAUUCUUUACUGAAUAAGUCA
rnacentral:misc_RNA from 1 species